rnacentral:tRNA from 1 species
CAUGGUGUGGCUUUGUGGAAAGAGCAUAGGCUUGGGAGUCAAAGAACCUGGGUUCUAAUCCCAGCUCCACCA